CAGUCCUGUGGUGAAAAUCACAUCAGAUUGCAAAUCUGAAGAAGUAGGCUUAUACCUGCCGGGGCUU
rnacentral:tRNA from 1 species